AGGACGAACGCUGGCGGCGUGCUUAACACAUGCAAGUCGAGCGGAAAGGCCCUUCGGGGUACUCGAGCGGCGAACGGGUGAGUAACACGUGAGUAAUCUGCCCCUAGCUCUGGGAUAGCUCCGGGAAACCGGGAUUAAUACCGGAUACGACCACCUUAGACAUCUUUUGUGGUGGAAAGAAUUUCGGCUAGGGAUGAGCUCGCGGCCUAUCAGCUUGUUGGUGGGGUAACGGCCUACCAAGGCGACGACGGGUAGCCGGCCUGAGAGGGCGACCGGCCACACUGGGACUGAGACACGGCCCAGACUCCUACGGGAGGCAGCAGUGGGGAAUAUUGCGCAAUGGGCGAAAGCCUGACGCAGCGACGCCGCGUGGGGGAUGAAGGCCUUCGGGUUGUAAACCCCGUUUCAGCAGGGACGAAGCGAAAGUGACGGUACCUGCAGAAGAAGCGCCGGCUAACUACGUGCCAGCAGCCGC
rnacentral:rRNA from 1 species